rnacentral:lncRNA from 1 species
GAGGCAGGAGAAUCGCCUGAACCCAGGAUGCGGAGGUUGCGGUGAGCCGAGAUCGUGCCAUUGCACUCCAGCCUGGGAAACAAAAGCGAAAUUCCAUCUCAAAAAGAAUAGCAACAGGCUUUUGUACAUAUUUUUUUCUCUGUAGUCUACUGACCAUACUUAUUGGUUUCAAUAUUUUUCAGCUGAUUUUUAAAAAAAUUUUCCAUGUAUGAGACUAUAUUAUCAGAAUAAUCAUGCUUAUCUCUUUCUUUCCAACUUUUGUAUAUAUUAAUUCCAUUUUCUCUCUUAUUAGCAAGUUUGGAUGCCAAUAGUAAUGGAGCAUUCUUACCUUGUCUCUGAUUUUUAUAGAAAUUCUGUUAUUAAUUAAUCAUGGCAUAUGAUGGUGGCUACUGAUUUCUUUAUAUACUUUUGCCAUAUUAAAGGAACUUCCUUCGACUCCUAAGAAUUUAAUUAAGAUUAGGUCGAGUUUUAGGGCACUAAUGAGUAACUUUUUCCCACCUUGAGUUUAGAACCAAUUCUGAACACAAGAACCAGACAGACACAGAUCAAAACACCAGCUUAAAUGGCAAGACUAAUUGAAGAACAUGGCACAGAUGUGUGGACUCAGGUGGCUUUCUCAUUUUUCAUCCUAGAAAUAAACCCACCUAGAUGAAAGGGCAAAAUGGUAAGCCUCCUCCAUAAAGCCAUGAAUGCCCUGGUAAAAUUAAUACCACACGGAGGAGAGCAUUCCAGAAGAGAGCCUGUCUGCAGGGGAGAGAUGGAAUUAGAAAAUCACCACCUGGAAAGACCACAGUCAUAAUCGUUUCAGGACAGAUCAACAUCCUGAUAUAUGCAUGAAAAAUGUGCAACCUUCAUCUACUUAGGAAGACCUAUCAGACAAACCCAAAGUGAGGCACAUUGAACACCAGAGCAGGCCUGUAUUCUUCAACAGUGUCAAGGUCAUGAAAGAAAAAGAAAGACCAAAGAACCACUACAGAUGAAAGGAAGAGAACAGGACAAUUAAAUGCAAUGUGAGAUCCUUGACUGGACUGGACCAGAAUAAAAACAUUAGUGGGACAACUGAAAAAAUUGGAAUAUCUAAAGAUUAGAUGAUAGCGACAUAUCAGUUGAUUUCCUGAUGUUGAUCUUUGAACUCAUUUUACUCACAUCAUUGUGACUGUGUAAGAUGUUUAAAUUUGGGAAGUCAGAAUAAAGGAUAUACAGUAAUAUUUUUAUAUUCUUUAAAGCUAUAAAUGAUUUCAAAACGAAAAGUUAAAAAAAAAAUCAAAGCACUACUUUUCUGUGGGUAGACAAUAUGUCCAUCUGGUUUUGAACUUGGUAAUUUCAGUUGAACGUGAUAGUUGUGUGUUUUACAGCACACUUCUAACAGUGUCUUUAGUCACCCAGAAGCUGAGAUUAGGUGAUUCAGACUAGGUGAUUAAAUUUCACGAUACACUCCAUGGAUGCAGUCAUAGUCAUACGGUAAUUAAAGGCACUCAGAAACGUUGGUGUUGGUGGAACCUG